rnacentral:rRNA from 1 species
GACGAACGCUGGCGGCGUGCCUAAUACAUGCAAGUCGAGCGAAUUUACGAGAGCUUGCUCUCGUAAAUUAGCGGCGGACGGGUGAGUAACACGUGGGCAACCUGCCUAUAAGACUGGGAUAACUUCGGGAAACCGGAGCUAAUACCGGAUAAUUCACAUCUACUCAUGUAGAUGUGCUGAAAGAUGGUUUACGCUGUCACUUAUAGAUGGGCCCGCGGCGCAUUAGCUAGUUGGUGAGGUAACGGCUCACCAAGGCCACGAUGCGUAGCCGACCUGAGAGGGUGAUCGGCCACACUGGGACUGAGACACGGCCCAGACUCCUACGGGAGGCAGCAGUAGGGAAUCUUCCGCAAUGGACGAAAGUCUGACGGAGCAACGCCGCGUGAGUGAUGAAGGUCUUCGGAUCGUAAAACUCUGUUGUUAGGGAAGAACAAGUACCAGAGUAACUGCUGGUACCUUGACGGUACCUAACCAGAAAGCCACGGCUAACUACGUGCCAGCAGCCGCGGUAAUACGUAGGUGGCAAGCGUUGUCCGAAUUAUUGGGCGUAAAGCGCGCGCAGGCGGUCCCUUAAGUCUGAUGUGAAAGCCC